rnacentral:rRNA from 1 species
GUGAGGAAUAUUGGACAAUGGGCGCAAGCCUGAUCCAGCCAUGCCGCGUGCAGGAAGACGCAUCUAUGGUGUGUAAACUGCUUUUGUACGGGAAGAAACACUCCCUCGUGAGGGAGCUUGACGGUACCGUAAGAAUAAGGAUCGGCUAACUCCGUGCCAGCAGCCGCGGUAAUACGGAGGAUCCAAGCGUUAUCCGGAAUCAUUGGGUUUAAAGGGUCCGUAGGCGGUUUAAUAAGUCAGUGGUGAAAGCCCAUCGCUCAACGAUGGAACGGCCAUUGAUACUGUUAGACUUGAAUUACAAGGAAGUAACUAGAAUAUGUAGUGUAGCGGUGAAAUGCUUAGAUAUUACAUGGAAUACCAAUUGCGAAGGCAGGUUACUGGAGCGCAACUGACGCUGAGGCACGAAAGCGUGGGGAUCGAACAGGAUUAGAAACCCUGGUAGUCC